UACAGAGGGGGCAAGCGUUGUUCGGAAUUACUGGGCGUAAAGGGCGCGUAGGCGGCCUUCUAAGUCGGACGUGAAAUCCCCAGGCUCAACCCGGGAACUGCGUCCGAUACUGGAAGGCUUGAAUCCGGGAGAGGGAUGUGGAAUUCCAGGUGUAGCGGUGAAAUGCGUAGAUAUCUGGAGGAACACCGGUGGCGAAGGCGACAUCCUGGACCGGUAUUGACGCUGAGGCGCGAAAGCCAGGGGAGCAAACGGG
rnacentral:rRNA from 1 species